UGUCAAGGGAUGGGAAUCGAACCCACGACCUUCCGCUUACCGGGCAGAUGCCAUGACCACUAGGUUACCCUGGAC
rnacentral:tRNA from 1 species